AUUGAAUGCUGGCGGCAUGCUUUACACAUGCAAGUCGAACGGCAGCGGGGUAGUGCUUGCACUACUGCCGGCGAGUGGCGAACGGGUGAGUAAUAUAUCGGAACGUACCGAGUAAUGGGGGAUAACCAAUCGAAAGAUUGGCUAAUACCGCAUACGUCCUGAGGGAGAAAGCGGGGGAUCGCAAGACCUCGCGUUAUUCGAGCGGCCGAUAACUGAUUAGCUAGUUGGUGGGGUAAAGGCCUACCAAGGCGACGAUCAGUAGCGGGUCUGAGAGGACGAUCCGCCACACUGGGACUGAGACACGGCCCAGACUCCUACGGGAGGCAGCAGUGGGGAAUUUUGGACAAUGGGGGCAACCCUGAUCCAGCCAUGCCGCGUGUAUGAAGAAGGCCUUCGGGUUGUAAAGUACUUUUGUUAGGGAAGAAAAGGGAAGUGCUAAUACCACUUUUUGCUGACGGUACCUAAAGAAUAAGCACCGGCUAACUACGUG
rnacentral:rRNA from 1 species